GCUGUCUAUCGAAUCGUUGCAAUUGAUGUUCGAUCUUGAAGAGAAGGAAGAGAUCUUCAAAAAGUAGGUUUUUAUGAUCCGAUAAAGAAUCAAACUUGUUUAAACGUUCCAGCUAUUCUCUAUUUCCUUGAAAAGGUAUUUCAUUUCUUUUUUAUUUAUACCUUCUUUAUCUUUAGUUUUAUCUAG
rnacentral:rRNA from 1 species